UCAGAGUUUGAUCCUGGCUCAGGAUGAACGCUGGCGGCGUGCUUAACACAUGCAAGUCGAACGAAGCACUUUUAUUUGAUUUCCUUCGGGACUGAUUUAUUUUGUGACUGAGUGGCGGACGGGUGAGUAACGCGUGGGUAACCUGCCUUGUACAGGGGGAUAACAGUUGGAAACGGCUGCUAAUACCGCAUAAGCGCACGGCCCAA
rnacentral:rRNA from 1 species